GAGGGGAAGUAGGGCUGAUGUUGCUGUUGUUGCUUCGAUCGGAUGCAUGUCAAGUUCGAGUACUCGACUCGAGCUCAAGCUCGAUAUGCAUUCAAGCUUGAUCGAGUCGAGUACGAUCUUACUCGUGCUUGUCUCGAGUCAAUCCCGAUCUUCAUUGCUCGAGCUCGAUCGAGCUCGAGCUCGAGCUCGAUUCCUGGUGGAUGUUGUCGAGUUCGAGCUCGAGUAGGCUACUACUCGAGCUCGACUCGGCUCGAUUUUACCCCUAUUCUGCAAGCAUGUUGCAAGAGUCAUAGUUGCAGGAACCCUGUUAGAAUUUAGUGAAUUCUACAUGUUUUGUUGCUGAAGUGGAUCAAGUCAAAACUGACAAAGUCUAAAUGUAUAUACAUUGAAUCAGCAGACAAGAAGCUCAACGAUAAUUACGUUGAUCCUGCAUCCCUUCAGGAUAUUGCAAAUCAAAUUGCUCGUGCGGAAGGCACCUGUGCACCGAACAGAGAUUACCUUUUCCAACUUCUAAAGGAGCUUACUUAUAUAGGAUGUGAAGAUAGACAUUUCAUUGGCAUGGCAAAUGAAGUGAGAAGCAAUCUUUCAGGGGCGAAAUUGACUUCUUCAUGAUACUAUGGUUAACAAAGAUGAAGAACUCAAAGAUAAAGAUCUCGGCUUUCAAUUACAAGUUAUCUACAACUAGUAGUUGCAGUUAGCCUCUAAUGGCAAUGGAUAAGCUCAUUGCAACUUAACCCUGAACAUGUUAAAUGCUCUAUGUUUAUUAAUACAUACAGUUCAUUGUCAUUUUAUUCUCAAACAUUAUUUCUGUUGGCUAAAACUCA